rnacentral:rRNA from 1 species
UGGGGAAUAUUGCACAAUGGGCGAAAGCCUGAUGCAGCAACGCCGCGUGAGUGAUGAAGGUCUUCGGGUUGUAAAGCUCUGUCUUUUGGGACGAUAAUGACGGUACCAAAGGAGGAAGCCACGGCUAACUACGUGCCAGCAGCCGCGGUAAUACGUAGGUGGCAAGCGUUGUCCGGAUUUACUGGGCGUAAAGGAUGCGUAGGCGGAUUUUUAAGUGAGAUGUGAAAACCCUAAGCUUAACUUGGGGACUGCAUUUCAUACUGGAAAUCUAGAGUGCGGGAGAGGAGAAUGGAAUUCCUAGUGUAGCGGUGAAAUGCGUAGAGAUUAGGAAGAACACCAGUGGCGAAGGCGAUUCUCUGGACCGUAACUGACGCUGAGGCAUGAAAGCGUGGGUAGCAAACAGGAUUAGAUACCCUGGUAGUCCACGCCGUAAACGAUGAGUACUAGGUGUAGGAGGUAUCGACCCCCUUCUGUGCCGCAGUUAACACAAUAAGUACUCCGCCUGGGAAGUACGAUCGCAAGAUUUAAAACUCAAAGGAAUUGACGGGGGUCAUAGCUGUUUUUCCU